rnacentral:rRNA from 1 species
GUAAAUUCCAUCCAAGGCUAAAUAUUGGUAAGAGACUGAUAGCAACAAGUACCGUGAGGGAAAGAUGAAAAGGACUUUGAGAAAAGAGUCAAAGAGUACUUGAAAUUGUUGGGAGGGAAGCGGAUGGGGGCCGACGGUGCAUCCCGAUUGGAUUGGAAUGGUGAUAAGCUAGUAUGCCAAUCAACUCGGGGCGUGGACUGCGGCGGCGUCGCAAGCCUGAGACUUUGUUGUGCUCGUGGAGACAUCGUCGCCGCGAUUGUGGCUGGCAACAUUCUCCCUUGGCGUGCUCAGGCAUCAGCGCGCUCGGGCGUCGGCUUGCGGGCUCCCCAUUAGGCCCGUCUUGAAACACGGACCAAGGAGUCUGACAUGUGUGCGAGUCAAUGGGCUAGAAAACCUGUGAGGCACAAGGAAGCUGAGUGGCAGGAUCCCCUUGAGGGUUGCACCACUGACCGACCUUGAUCUUCUGAGAAGGGUUCGAGUGUGAGCAUGCCUGUUGGGACCCUAAAGAUGGUGAACUAUGCAUGAGCAGGGCGAAGCCAGAGGAAACUCUGGUGGAGGCCCGCAACGAUACUGACGUGCAUAUCGUUCGUCUGACUUGGGUAUAGGGGCGAAAGACUAAUCAAACCGUCUAGUAGCUGGCUCCCUCCGAAGUUUCCCUCAGGAUAGUUGGAGCCCAUGGGUGAGUUCUAUCGGGUAGAGCCAAUGAUUAGAGGCAUCGGGGGCGCAACGCCCUCGACCUAUUCUCAAACUUUAAAUAGGUAGGACGGCGCGGCUGCUUUGUUGAGCCGCGCCACGGAAUUGAGAGCUCCAAGUGGGCCAUUUUUUGGUAAGCAGAACUGGCGAUGCCGGAUGAACCAAAAGUCAAGUUACGGUGCCCAACUGCACGCUAACCUAGAACCCACAAAGGGUGUUGGUUGAUUAAGACAGCAAGACGGUGGUCAUGGAAGUUAAAAUUUGCUAAGGAGUGUGUAACAACUUAACUGCCGAAUCAACUAGCCCCAGAAAUGAAUGGCGCUGAAGCGCGCGACCUAUAAAAGGCCGUUGAGGCCAGUACCAGGACCCGAUGAGUAGGAGGGCGCGGUGAUCGCCGCAAAACCUGGGCCGCGAGCCCAGGCAAAGCGGCCGUCGGUGCAGAUCUUGGUGGUAGUAGAUAAUAUUCAAAUGAGAACUUUGAAGGCCAGAGAGGGGAAAGGUUCCAUGUAAACAACACUUGCACAUGGGUUAGUCGAUCCUAAGAGACAGGGCAAUCCCGUCUGACAGCUCCCAGUGCACGAACAUUGAAAGGGAAUCGGGUUAAAAUUCCUGAAAUAGGACGUGGCAGCUGACGGCAACGUUAGUAAGUCAAGAGACGUCGUAGGGGACCUCGGGAAGAGUUAUCUUUUCUAUUUAACAGCCUGCCCACCCUGAAAACGGCUCAGCCAGAGGUAGGGUCAAGCGGCUGGAAGAGCACCGCAUUCCGCACGGUGUUGGGUACGUCCUUGACGGCCCUUGAAAAUUCGGAGGACCGAGUACCUCCCAUGCCUGGUCGUACUCAUAACCGCAUCAGGUCUCCAAGGGGAACAGCCUCUGGUCGAUGGAACAAUGUAGGCAAGAGAAGUCGGCAAAAUGGAUCCGUAACCUUGGGAAAAGGAUUGGCUCUGAGGGUUGGGCACGGGGGUCCCCAUCCCGAAUCCAUUGGCUGUCGAUGGACUGCUCGAGCUGCUCUCGCUGCAAGAGCGGGUCGUCGCGUGCCGGCUGGGGGAAAGAUGGGAACGGCUCCUUUGGGGGCCUUCCCUGGGCUUCGAACAUUCGACUCAUAACUGGUACAGACAAGGGGAAUCUGAUUGUUUAAUUAAAACAAAGCAUUGCGAUAGUCCUUGUGGAUGCUCACGCAAUGUGAUUUCUGCCCAGUGUUCUGAAUGUCAAAGUGAAGAAAUUAAACCAAGCACGGGUAAAUGGCGGGAGUAACUUUCACUCUCUUAAGGUAGCUAAAUGCCUCGUCAUCUAAUUAGUGACACGCGUCGUUGGCUAAGCCCUCGCAACCGAGCCGUUGCGCGGGCCACCUUGAAGUGUUAUUUCAAUCGAGCGACAGUUAGAAUCCUUUGCAGAUGACUUAAAUACGCGACGAGGUAUUGUAAGUGGCAGAGUGGCCUUGCUGCCAAGAUCCACUAAGAUUCAGCCUCACGUCGCAUCGAUUCAUCCCUCCCCUCCCAAGUACCUCCAUGAGGCUCGUUCUAUUUUUUCCGAAAAACAACCAAGUCCCGAACAAGUAAUCUUUUGGAAGGCAUGCCGAAGGGUCAUUGUGCCGAGCGUAGGCAUGAUCAAGGAGCGCCCUAGGCCAAGGCACGUGCAGGUGGAAGUGCAUGUCCAAGUUCCUCCACCAGGCUUCUUCCAUUAUUUCCAAAAAAUGAACAAGUCCCAAUGAAGCCACGCCCAAGGCCAAGUAUCAUACAUAGUUUCUAGCAAAGGCACGAUCAAGGCCCGGCCAAGUGGAAGGGGCGAGGCGUGCCUUUGGUUCAAAAGUUUGUCAAAUUGACUAACAAAAUGUAAGGCAAGGUAUUGAGGAACUUGCAAAAACUUUGAAAAGUCGAGUAAACAUAUACUUACAAAAAGGUAAGGCAAGGUAUUGAGGAACUUGCCAAAACUUUGAAAUGUCGAAUAAACAUAUACUUAC